AUGAACACUGUUUUAAAACACCAACAAUGGAGAUAUUUGGAACAGUUUCCCAAAAGGCACCACGUUUGCUGUAACAUCUGUGCAAAACGAGGAACACGGUGCAAUCCUGCCGUUUGUCAGCAGCAAUACGCGCUCCCUCCCCAAAACGACUCGAUAAAGCCCGGAGACCGCAAGGAAACCCGGAGCCCGGCGCGCCACGGCGCCGCAUUAGCGGGCACGGACGCCCUCUCACCCCGGCGGGGCGGCGCAGCACAAAGCAGCGCCGCAGGCAGGGCCGGGGCCGGCGGGAGCGCGGGGCCGGCUGCCCUCGCCGCGGCGGCCGGGGCACAAAGGCUGGUGCCGGGCUGCCCCCAGGCGCCCCGCGCCGAGCCCCGCCGGCGCCCCCGCGCCGCGCCGCGCUCCCGCCCGGAACAAAGCCCCGCGCUUACCAGCGGCGGCUGCAGCCUCUCGCCGCCCUCGCACACCCUCUCCUCCUCCUCGUCCCCGUUUAAAAUCCAGGCGCAGGAGCACGGGGCGGGGAGGCGGCGGGGGGACCUGCGCCGCAGUUCAUUCAGCGCCGGGAGCGCCCCCGCGCAGCGCUCCGCGGCCGCGCUCGGCUCCCUCCGUGCGCUCGGGCUCUGGCUUAAUCUCCAAACUUCCUCCUGCUCCUCCUCUCGCCCGAGCAGGGGAGUUUGUGAAACUCCCCUCCUCCAUGCAGCUCCCGCAGCCGCGCCGCUGCCUCGGCCCCUCCCCAGGGAGGCCCGGCCUGGCCCUGGGCUGCUGCUGACUCCUCGCCCCUCUUUUCCUCCUCGCCCGGAGGCUGGAAGAGGGGGAGAAAGAUUAACCACUUGGACUUGCCUCUGGAUCCGAGCCAAACAGGGCAGUCAAAUUACAGCCCCGGGAAGAAGAAGGGGGGGGGGGAUCAGCUACUGUUUUCACGCGCAGAGCAAGCGCUUCGUUUUCCCUCCCUCCCUUUUCAGCCGUCCCUGCGCUCGCAGGGCUCCGCCUCGCCCGGGCUUCCCCCUCUCGGUGGGAGCCCCGGCUGGGGCUGGUGGCGGCGCGGCCGGGGGCGCCGGUGCCGCGCAGCAGCCCCAGCCCCAGCCCCGUCCCCGUCUGCCUCGGGGAGACCCAGCCCCGCCGCUGGGUCCUCUGCGAUACCACAGGUUUUAA
rnacentral:lncRNA from 1 species